AUUCAGGAGCUUACUCGGGGCUUGAUGAUUGGUAAAGGUCAUCUUGAGAAUAAACUCUAUUUUCUGGAUACUGCAACUUCAUCUUCAUCAUCUCAAGCUCCAUCUUCUUCCAUUUGCAAUCUCACUGUUUCUGAUUCUAGUUCUCUUUGGCAUUCAAGACUGGGUCAUCCAUCUUUUCCCAAGAUUCAAGCUCUUUCUGAAGAUCUUUCUCUUUCAAAAACAAAACUUAAAGAUUGGUCACAUUGUCAGACAUGUCAUCUUGCAAAACAGAAACGUUUAGAUUUUCCUUUUCUUAAUAAUCUGUCUCAGAAACCUUUUGAUCUUAUACAUUUGGAUGUUUGGGGUCCUUUCUCUGUUGUUUCAGUUGAAGGCUUUCGUUAUUUUCUUACUAUAGUGGAUGAUUGCACUAGAGUAACUUGGGUUUAUCUCUUGAAAUCAAAAAGUGAUGUUUUAAAAGUCUUUCCCACUUUUAUACAAACUGUUGAAACAUAAUUUUCUAGUAAAAUCAAAGCCAUUCGUUCAGACAAUGCCCCUGAACUUUCUUUUACUUCUCUUCUUCAAUCCAAAGGAAUCUUUCAUUACUUUUCUUGUGUUGAUACACCACAACAAAAUUCAGUUGUGGAGAGAAAACAUCAACACAUUCUAAAUGUGGCCAGGGCCCUUCUUUUUCAAUCUAAUGUGCCAUUACAAUAUUGGUCAGAUUGUGUUCGCACUUAUGUCUUUCUCAUAAACAGAACUCCUUCAACUCUUCUCCAAAAUAAAACUCCUUAUGAACUAUUACUCCAAAAGAAACCAAAUUAUUCAAAUCUUAAAAGUUUUGGUUGUCUUUGUUAUGUGUCUACCUAUCCAAAAGAUAGACACAAAUUCUCUCCUAGAGCAACAGCCUCAGUUUUUCUUGGUUAUCCUUCUGGAUACAAAGGUUAUAAAGUCCUUGAUCUUGAAACUCAUUCCAUUUCAAUAUCAAGAAAUGUUUUAUUUCAUGAGGAUAUCUUUCCUUUUCAGUCUUCUGAUCUCUCUUCUUCCACCAUUGAUAUUUUCUCUUCUACUAUACUUCCUCUUCCUAUUCCUGAUUCAUCAUCAUCUUCUUCUUCCAUUCCUCAUCCUAUUCCUGAAGUUUUAUCUGAUAACAGUAAUGUCUCAGUAGAAUCAGAUUCUACUAUUCUUGUUGAUGGAAACAGGCCUAAGAGGAACACUCGUAAGCCAACUUAUUUGGCUGAUUAUCACUGCAAUCUUGUACGACACAUCCCUAAUGACAGUGGUAAUACUUCCUAUCCCUUGCAAACGGUACUUGAUUACUCUCAGCUGAAUGAUCACUAUCAACAGUUCAUUUUCAACAUUUCUGCGGAGUCAGAACCAAAAAUUUUUGCUAAGGCUAUCAAGUCUGAAAAGUGGCAUGGACCUAUGAAUGAAGAGCUACAAACGUGUGUUAACACUGGUACAUUCUCUGUGGUCACAUUGCCUGAGGGAAAGAAGCCCAUUGGCUGCAGAUGGGUUUACAGGAUAAAGCAUCAUGCUGAUGGGACUAUUGACAGAUACAGAGCUAGAUUGGUUGCUAAGGGAUAUACUCAACAAGAAGGAGUGGAUUAUAUUGAUACAUUCUCUCCAGUAGCAAAGCUUGUUACAGUCAAAUUAUUACUGGAUUUGGCUGCCAAACACAACUGGUCUCUAACUCAAAUGGAUGUUACAAAUGCUUUUUUGCAUGGUGAUCUUGAUGAGGAGAUUUACAUGGAGUUGCCACCAGGUUACACACCACCUCCUGGUGAAAGCUUGCCUCCAAAAGCAGUUUGGAAACUCCACAAAUCACUCUAUGGGUUAAAACAAGCUUCAAGACAGUGGAACAAGAAAUUUUCAGAUGUGUUAUUGGUGAAUGGUUUUACUCAAUCUCAGUCAGAUCACACACUUUUUGUAAGGCAAGUGGGUAACACUUUUCUUGCUUUACUAGUGUAUGUGGAUGAUAUCCUUAUUGCCAGUAACAGUGAUCAAGCCGUCUCAGAUUUGAAGAAUAUUUUGUCCACUGCUUUUAAACUCAAAGAUCUUGGUCCAGUUAAGUACUUUCUUGGACUUGAAAUUGCUAGAAACAAGAAUGGAAUCUCCGUUUGUCAACGGAAAUACACUUUGGAUUUGUUGGAAAGUGUUGGUCUUCUAGGUUGCAAGCCAGUGGCAACACCAAUGGACUCUGAUAUACAUUUACAUGCUGAAAGUGGUGAAUUAUUACCUGAUGCCACAGUAUACAGAGCUCUCAUUGGCAAGCUGCUAUAUCUUACUAUUACAAGAGCUGAGAUUACUUUUGCUGUCCACAAACUGAGUCAAUAUCUCUCUCAACCAAGGACUCAACAUUUACAAGCAGCUCAUCGUAUUGUCAGAUACUUAAAAGGAGAUCCAGGGUGUGGUCUGUUCUAUUCUGCAAACUCUGAAUUCAGACUACAAGCUUUUUCAAACGCAGAUUGGGCAACUUGUCAAGAUUCACGCCGUUCUACUACUGGCUUCUGUGUUUUCUUUGGUUCUUCUUUGAUCUCAUGGAAAUCCAGAAAGCAACAAACUGCCUCACGUAGUAGUGCUGAAUCAGAAUACAGAGCCUUAGCUGAUACAACGUGUGAAUUACUUUGGCUGAGUCAAUUGCUAAAGGAUCUUCAUGUUCAAGUUACUGGCCCAACUAAUCUCUACUGUGAUAGCACUGCAGCCAUUCAGAUUGCUUCAAAUUCAGUCUUUCACGAACGCACCAAACACAUAGAGAUAGAUUGUCACAUUGUUCGUGACAGGUACAAAGCUGGUUUUCUGAAUUUGUUGCAUGUUACUACGGAUAAUCAACUGACUGAUCUGUUUACUAAAGCUCUACCUCCCAAGACAUUCAAGAUGCUCAUGUCAAGAUAUGCUUUUUCAAGUCUCUUUCUUCCUUCUUGAAGAAUUCGACUUGAGGGAGGGGUAUUAGAGUAUAGUAAUACAUGUAAAUAGUUUUUACUCACAUGUAUUUUUAUUUACUAUAUAUACUGUACAUGUAAACACUUUUACACUUAAUGAGAAAUAACAAACUUUCUAAUUCUCUCUUAUCUGAUAACAUCAUGCUAAGAGUCACAGAUUUAAGACCGUGUCUCUCACUAAAAAGUAAAAACUACAAUAACGAUCACAAUCGAUCAUAUUUAUUUUGGGUAAGUAACAAUUUUUUUUAAUAUUAAAGCUUUAUAUUUAAUAUUUCUACUUUUUAUAAGAAAUUUUCAAUAGUAAGUCAUCCAUUGUUGAAUUAGCGCUGAGGAUCAAGACAUACAAAUCAUGUUGAGGGAAUUACAAUUUACAAGGUGCUCGAGCUCAAACAAACAAACAAAAAAAAUCGGACCAAAUAAAGAAAGUUACGACCUUGACGUCUGUUUUUGGAGUUAUUUUUCGUACAAAUUGUAUUGCAUUAAAUCGAUCGAAUUACAACUUACAUGGAAAAAUAAUUUGUGAAAUAAAUCAAACUUUCAACACCAUUAUAAGCAAACUUACUUAGUUAUCUCGGAUAGAAAUGCGAUUAAAUAAAGGGAAAAUUAGGGAAGUAGAGACUUGAAAUUAAAGGGAAGAAGAUUGAAGAGAUCAUAUAAAUUAGCAAAGAUAAUUGUGACCACAGCCAUCGAAUUGACUAGAAACGCUUCUGAUCCAUACUUGUCAACCCCUGAAUUUUCCAUGGAAGUAAGCUUUUCAACAAACCCUAAAACCGAGUUUCCAACAGCAACAACAAAAAUAUAGAGGCUAGUAGACACGUGUACUGGACGUAUAUAUGAUUCUUUGAUGCUUUGAAGAAAAUUAUAAAGCCAUUCUCCAGCUGCAAAGUUGAAAAAAUAACCUUUCGAUCAACAACUUCGAUUCCACUUAAAAUGAUUCAACUAAUAGAAAAUUUUUUAUAAAAAAAGCUUUGAUUCAAGAGAUUCUUUCAUGGAAGGCUAAUCUGGCUAUAUAGGAAUUUACCUGGAUGAAAUACAUGAUUAUGCUUACAAAACCAAUCCAAGAAUGGAGGCUAUAGAAAUUUGGGAUGUUUAACUCGUUGUGGUACUUGACGGCAGCAGUGAUUCCAAUGAAAAUCUAGUACGACUUUUGAUUAUACAUUUUGUGGGCCACGUUUUUCUGAAUUCGGAAACACCUAUGAAUCAGUUUAUUUAAUUUUGUAAUCAAAUGAGUGUUAUCGUGGCGUUGAAGAACAUCUAAUAGACGAUUAGAUUGUUGCCAAUGCCACGUGGUAACCGAAGAAGUAGCCAAAGGAGGCAUCUAUUAACUCCGCCGCACCUCCGUGUGUCCACUAGUCAACGACCGAGGAAUUUACGAAACAUGCCACUGGAUGUGUUACAAGCUCAAAUCCAACCUAUAUGAGCCCAGCCCACUUAUUGAUAACAAAGACCUUAGGCUGAGUCCGUCCAAAUGACAAUAACGAUGUCGUUUUAAAGUAUUACAACAAAAAUAAAUAGGGGUUAGGUAAAAUUAAGAAUCUUUCACCAUUAUCGAGAGCCUCAUUUUUAAUUUAUAUUUAUAUUUUCUAAAUUAUUAAGAACCCCUACGUAAUUGAAAAAACGAAAAGCUAUUAGCCAAAUGUUUUUUUUUAUAAAAUAGGACAGGGAAUUUUUAAUAACACCUUUUUUAACCUACUGUAUUAGUUUUGUACUUUUAUGUAAUCGACAAACAUUUAUUCAUCCAACUAUUGCCAUUGGUUGAUAUGCUUAAAUUAUGUCUACCAAAAAGAAAAAAGAUAUACCUAUUUUAUAUUUUAAACACAAAAACAAAGUCAGAAUAUAUGUUCGAAAUUGCAGAAAAUGGUUUCUUUGUUAAAUCUCUCUGAUAUGGAAUUUAACUACUAAUACACUAUAUUUUAAAAUAAACUAUUUGAGAUUAAACAGAAAAACCAAAGAUAUUAUCUUAGACAAACUAAUAAAAUGAAUUCAAGCGAAACUUAGAGGCAUGAUUAUAUCAAUAGCAUAUUUACUCGCAUAUGGCAAGCAAAACACUAGUCAGGUUAAAACCACAUGCUUCCAAAUAUUUGACAAAAAAAUCAUCAUCAACGCUUUCAACUCCCGCAAUUGAAAGGUAUUUGAGGCAUUUGAAGCUUUAAGGAUAUCUGAAACUUGAGAUAAGUUGAUUUAGCAUCUUUCAAUGUCGAGGCCUCUUAGAGUAGAUCCAUCGUGGUUGAUAAGAAUCACCAACACAUGGAAUAAGAGCAUAAAUUACUGUGAGAAACCAAUAUUUUUUUCAGAUACUUGUAUAUUCGAAUAUUUUAUAUCAAAUCUAUCCAAACGAUUCAAAAAUAUUCAACAUCUAAAUAUAAUCGAAUGAAAAAGUAAAACGGAUGAGUAAAAAUAUAUCAUGCACUGUUCGGACUGGUUACUUUGUAUCCAAAUAACUAGAUUAAACAUGUAACUAUAGAUUAGAAGGGUAUGAGAUUUAUUAGAUAGGCUUCAAAUAUAUAUUUAGCACUCGUUCGGUUUUUGUGUAAUAUUCGAUAUGAACCGAUAUCCGAAAUAGAUGAAAACAAGAUUGAGACACAUGGUUUUUAACCUACUAUAUCAGUUUUGUGUAAUCGGCAAACGUUUAUUUAUCCAACAAUCGUCAUUGGUUGAUGAUAUAUUUAUUAUAGUGACGUCGUUACUAAAAAUUUGGAUCAAUCAACAAAUUAAUAUGGAUGAUUAAAAAAUAAUUAAGAUUAUUUGGAUGAUUUUUUAUUUUGAGGAAUAGUUUAGUAAUUUUCUAAUUUGUGGUGAUUUGAGUAACUUUUUCUUAAAACAUUAAAUAAAUCUUAUAUUUAUAAAGCAGUUUGACAAUUAUAACAAAACCUAACAACUUAGUGGCCCAAUGAAGAUAUGUCUUUUAUUGAACCAGAUUUCUUCAUAGAUAAAGUUAAGAGUCUUAAUCCCCAAAAAAUUAUGACCAAAUUAUGGAGAGAGUGGGGAUAUACAAACCUUGUUAACGAAAAAAUAUUAACAGAUGAGAUGUCUUUUUUUUUUGUCAUCUGGAAUUAUAUUAGAAAGAGAUGUAGAGCUACAAACAAUAACAUCCCCGAGAAACCAAACCAAUGCAUAAGAGCAAUACAACUCAAAAAACACAGGCCAAAAGGAGCCACAAACUAAAACAAGCUGGGCUAAUACAAAGGAAUACACUUCACCAUUCCGAAGCCGAUUCCACAAAAACUCAGAUUCAAUCAGACGCCAAAGCUCUUUCCACUGCGAAGACACCAUCAAGCCAAAAAGGAUGACCAACCGUAACAUACGAUUGAAGUCUACAAUCAUUAGUAACACUCUUCGCAAUAAGAAAAGCACACCUGUUUGAAGAAGAGUUUUCCAAAAUAAUUUUCCAUCGCCUAAAAAACUUAAGAACCAAACCAGCCUCCAUAGAUUGAUAUCUAAAAGAAGGCCAAGCAAUAGGUCUGUUAAUAGCCUUAACCAAAGACUCCACCUGCAGCCCAAAAAUCACAUUUUCUACUCUGUGACUCCGCAUACUCUCAAUUGCCCACAUUAAACCUAUAAAAUGAGCCUCUUGCUUAUCAGACAGCCUCACAAAAGCUCUUCUACUGUGUAACAGAACCUUCCCCAAGUGAUCUCUCAAAACCCAAGCACAACCCGCAAACUUGUUCCUGUUGGACCAAGAUAUACCAAUAUUGCACUUAAACCAGUUUAAAGGAGGAGGAGACCAACCAUAUCUUCUGUUACCAAUGCCAUGACCGAGAGGAGACAAGCCGUGAGUCUCAGGUCCAUUCACCAACCCAAUUUCUUCAUCACCCUUUUGAGCCUCAACCCAUUCAGUCCAAUCUUCUUUCACCUUUUGAGCAGAUUCCAGAGGAGAAAAACAUUUUCCUUCAAAAGAUGCAAGAUUUCUAUUCUUCCAAAUACGCCAUAAAGUCCAAGGAAAGGAUAAUCUUAACUCAUGUGGCCAAAGAGUAUUCGUAGUAUUCAUUAACAGAUAAUGAAUGUUAUUGAACACAGAACCAUUAUGAAAUCCCCAACUUGGAGAAGGAAUGCCAGUGAGAGCCCAAAUCUGUCUAGCCAUGGAACAUGUGAAUAAAACAUGGUUCACCGAUUCGUCCUCAUCACCACAAAGCUGACAUCUUAAAUCAAUUUUCAUUCCUUUGCCUAGAAGAGCAGCCGCCACAGGUAAAGCUCCACAUAGAACUUUCCAUAAGAAAACAUGAAUCUUGGGAUCAGUUUGAAGAGCCCAGACCUGAGCUUUCAAGUCAUUCGUUGAUGGGAGCUGCUCAGCAAGAAUUCUAGUCUGAAGAUUGCUAGAUUGGGAAGCUAACCAAUAAGCAGACUUUACCGAAAAAUCGCCACUCUUAUUAUGUUUCCAUGAAUAAAAGUCCUCAAGUUCAGUCACUGGCUUGAUCUUAUUGAUUAUAAGAAUAUCCAAAGGAGGGAAAUGAAACUCAAGUUUCUGAGGAUCCCAAAUCCUUUUAUCCCAGUCAAUGAGCUCAGAAAUUCUCAAAUCAGGAUUGAAGAAAUAAUUUCUCCUAUAAGGAGCACGCCAGCCAUCAUCUUCAAUCCAAUCAUCAAUCCAAACUCGAAAAGAUUUUCCAUUGCCAAUGUUCUUAACAAGACCCUGGCUUAACAGAUUCCUCCCAUGUAAAAUGCUUUUCCAAGCAUAAGAGGGUCUAGUGCCCACUCCAGCAUUCAAAAAUCAGUUGUCUAAAAUAACAUUUUUAAAAAAAUUAGGAGACAAAGAAAAUGAGUGCAUUGAAGAGAGGGACAGUGUUUGUUGCACAUGUUUUCAUGUGCUUCCAAUACUUACGCCAUUUUUAUAUCCGUAUGAUCCAGCUUCUAAUCAUUUUAUAAUCAGCUAUAAACAUUUUUAAUAUUUCUCUUCAUUAUUAGAAUAUCAAAAUCAUUAAUUCUGAUGAGUUGGUUCGGUUUAAGGCCUCCUUAGUCUAACUUUAAUCAAACUUAUAGAAUUAUCACAAAAGUCUAAUAUAUGUGCAUAUUUCAAAACUAGUUUUUUUUUUGUGCACCUUUCAAAACUAGUUUAAGAUUGCAAUUAAGUACAAAAAAGAAGAAGAGAGUGUUGCAAUUAUCAAACCAAUAUUUAUCUACUGAUACAAGAAAAUAUAGAGUGAGGAUUCAUAUGCGUGUAUGUAUAUAUAAAAUUCUGAAAUAAAUGUGUAUCAUUAAUAAUUUAAGGGAAACACACGCAACAUACAUAUAUUCUAUAGUGUGUACAGCUGUAUGUACAUAAACAUAAUGCAUAAUGGAUCAUGAGUCAUGACGAGUAUGUGGCAUGCAGAUAAAGGCGUCUCUGGUUUUUCUUGGGGCCACCGAUACGAGCAAUAAUGGUGUAAUAUGCGAUGUGUUUCAUUCAUUUAACUAUAGUACAAUAAAAACAAAAUAUAACUUAUUCACUUGAAAUAAAUGUAACUAACUACUAAUUUGAAAUAUUUUCUAGUAAACCCUACCAACAUGAAAAGGCUUAACCUACUCUUUACCCUGACAUAAAAUGAAACCUAAUUUUCUAUACAAAGAUAACUUUAUAUUAUACAAGUUUUAGUUACUAAGACUUUGUGUAAGUCAGACAAGUAGGCAAUUAAAAAGGGAGGUUGGGGUGUCUAUUAAAUUUAUAAGGACACAUAAAAUCACCCACAUUAUAUGCCUUACUGCAUUAAAAAGAAAAGCACUUUUCAAUUCUAUUAAUAAACUAAUAAAAGUUAAUUUCCUACUCAAUCAAACCCAUUAAAGCAGUAAGAAAAAAAAAAAAAGCUUUCUUAGAUGGAAUCUACUUAUAACUCACUGAUUAAGUUUUUAUAUUAAAAAGUUGUACGAAUCAACCUUUAUAUUGUACAAGGAAAGUGAUCAUCACAGACUGUAAAUCAGGUUGUUGUGUUUUGUUUUUGUUUCCUCCUACAUUCUUUGGAAGAAACAGAAACAAAUCAGAGAAUCUGAAAAUCCAAAUUUUGGGUUGAAGAAGGUUUUGGUUUGGUUUCUUUCGAGAAAACAAUGUUUAAGUCAUGGAGGAACGACAAGAACAAGAUCAAGGCUGUGUUCAAACUUCAGUUUCAGGCAACUCAGGUUUGUGUUUUGUCUCUUUAAAUCUCAAUUUCAUAUUUUUCUCUGAGAAAUUCAGACAAUGUGUUUACUAUAAUCCUAGAUCUGUCACUCUAUAAGUUUCAAGAUUUGUUUUGAAUGUGAAUGUGAAAUUUGGGGAUGUUACCUUUUUAUUUUCAGGUACCGAAGUUGAAGAAGACUGCUUUGAUGAUCUCAUUGGUUCCUGAUGAUGUUGGGAAGCCAACAUUUAAGCUGGAGAAAUCUGAGGUUAAAGAAGGGAUCUGUUCAUGGGAGAAUCCAAUUUAUGUGUCAGUGAAGCUAAUCAAAGAACCAAAAACUGGGAUUGUUCGUGAGAAGAUUUACCAUUUUGUUGUUGCAACAGUGAGUGAAACCAACAAUCUCUGUGACUAUGUCUUUUGAGUUAAUCUGAAGAAGAAAAAGACUCAAAAUUUUCCAAAAUCUGUUUCAGGGUUCUUCGAAAUCGGGUUUUCUAGGAGAAGCUUCCAUUGAUUUUGCAGAUUUUCUGACUGAAGCAGAUCCAUUAACUGUCUCCUUACCUCUCAAAUUUGCCAACUCUGGUGCUGUCUUAAAUGUAAUCUCUUUUCUUCUCCUCUUUUUAAUCCUGAAGUUAGAAAUUGAAAAAAAAUGUAUGAGAAAGUUAUAUAAACUGUUUGGUUGUUGGUGCAGGUAACAAUCCAUAAGAUACAAGGAGCUAGUGAUUUAAAGUAAAUAGUUUUUUCUAUAUGUUGUUGUCGUCGUUUCCUGUUUUCUUUUGUAAUAGAUUUUUGACAUCAAAUUUUGCAGAUUUAUUGAGGAAAAUAAAGAUCAAACACUUAGCAAAGAAGACAGCUUCAAAAGUCUACAAAGCAAUGAUGAGUUAGAAGGAUAUAGCCAAGAUGUAAGGUUUCUUGGUUCAAAGAGUUAAUUAAAACUGUCUCUUGUCUAUUAAGAACGAUCGUGAUAGUUAUAGAUCUUUUUGUAGGAGAGUAGCUUAGAUGUGAAGACGGCUAAGAAUGCUGGCCUAGGAGGUUCCUUUGAUUCGAUUGGUGAAUCGGGAUGGAUAGAUGAGGGGAAUGCACGGUUACCUCAACGACAUAACUCAGUUCCUGCAACAAGAAACGGGCAUCGAAGAUCAAACACGGACUGGUCAGCUAGUUCGACAUCAGAUGAGAGUUACAUCGAGUCAAGAAACAGUCCUGAGAACAAUUUCCAAAGAGGAUUCUCUAGUGUUACUGAAUCGAGUGAUCCUAUCGAAAGGCUCAAGAUGGAAUUGGAAGCUUUGAAGAGGCAAUCAGAGUUAUCUGAGCUGGAAAAACAGUCUUUAAGGAAACAGGCCACAAAGGAGAGCAAACGGAUACAGGAACUGUCCAAGGAAGUUAGUUGUCUCAAGGGUGAAAGAGAUGGAGCUUUGGAAGAGUGUGAAAAGCUUAGGUUGCAGAAUAGUAGAGACGAGGCUGAUGCUGAAAGCAGAUUGAGAUGCAUCAGCGAAGAUUCGAGCAAUAUGAUUGGGGAGAUUAGAGAUGAGCUGAGUUGUGAGAAGGAUUUGACGAGUAACCUUAAGUUGCAGUUGCAGAGGACACAAGAGUCGAACUCUAAUUUGAUUCUUGCUGUGAGGGAUCUCAAUGAGAUGUUGGAGCAGAAGAACAAUGAGAUAUCUUCUCUGAAUAGCUUAUUAGAGGAGGCUGAGAAGCAUGAAGAGGAUAAGGGAUUGGAUUCUGGAAACAAUGAGAUAGAUAAGCUAAAGCAACAGAUCGAAGAUUUAGAUUGGGAGUUAGAUUCUUACAGGAAAAAGAACGAAGAACAAGAGAUUCUAUUAGAUGAGCUUACUCAGGAAUAUGAGUCCUUAAAAGAAGAAAAAUACAAAAACGUUUCCUCAAGAUUAGAGUGGCAAGAAUGCUCAAAUGCGGAAGAUGAAUUCUCCGAUUCCAAGGAUAUGAUAGAGGAAUUGAAAUCUCAGAUAGAGAUAUUGGAAGGCAAAUUGAAGCAGCAAUCGUUGGAGUAUUCGGAAUGCUUGAUUACCGUUAAUGAACUUGAGAGUCAGGUGAAAGAGUUAAAGAAAGAACUGGAGGAUCAAGCAAGCGCUUUUGAUGAAGAUAUUGACACAAUGAUGCGGGAAAAAACUGAACAAGAGCAAAGAGCCAUCAAAGCAGAGGAGAAUCUAAGGAAAACAAGAUGGAAUAAUGCUAUAACAGCAGAGCGGCUUCAAGAAAAAUGCAAGAGGAUUUCUCUAGAAAUGAAAUCAAAGCUGAGUGAGCAUGAGAAUCUGACGACAAAGACAUUGGCUGAGGCAAACGACCUUCGUCUGCAAAAUAAAACUCUUAAGGAAAUGCAAGAGAAAACACAUACCGAGGUUACGCAAGAGAAAGAGCAAAAGAAGCACGUGGAAGAGAAGAACGAAGCUUUGUCAAUGAAAGUCCAGAUGCUUGAAAGUGAGGUCCUGAAGCUCACAAAGCUGAGAGAUGAAUCGUAUGCAGCAGCUACCGAAACCGAGAAGAUAAUUCAAGAGUGGAGGAAGGAAAGAGAUGAAUUUGAGAGAAAAUUUGCUUUGGCUAAAGACGAAGCCAAGACAGCGCAGAAAGAGUUAACUCUCACUAAGUCGUCAAAUGAUGAAAAAGAGACCAGGCUCAGGAAUUUGAAGACAGAAGUAGAAGGUCUAAGCCUACAGUACAGUGAAUUACAAAACAGCUUUGUUCAAGAAAAAAUGGAGAAUGAUGAACUGAGAAAACAAGUAUCAAACUUGAAAGUCGAUAUUCGGAGAAAAGAAGAAGAAAUGACUAAAAUCCUAGAUGCAAGGUAUGUGGAAAAUAAACUAACUAAAUUGAAAUGUUAUUUUUCAGUUGUGAAUAUUUGACUUAUUACUAUCUAACACAACAAUAACAGGAUGGAAGCAAGGUCACAAGAAAACGGACACAAAGAGGAGAAUCUAACAAAGCUAUCAGAUGAAUUGGCUUAUUGUAAGAACAAAAACAGUUCAAUGGAGAGAGAGUUGAAAGAAAUGGAAGAGAGAUAUUCAGAGAUAAGCCUGAGAUUUGCAGAGGUAGAAGGAGAAAGACAACAACUUGUGAUGGCUGUCAGAAACCUCAAGAACGGUAAGAAGUUUUAGUAUUUGUAUGUUGCUGCGACUACAAUUGAUGUAACAUCAUUAGUAGAAAUAACUAUAUAAAUUGUGUUGUUAAUAGAAUUCGUUUCUCUCAUAAAACAUUAUUUUAUAAACUUGUCAAGAAAUCAAUAUUUUCCUCUGAAAUAAGUAACGCUUACAUAAGAUUUUGAGAUGCCCACCUCCAAAUCUGAUCAUGUCCACAUUGAAUUCCCACUGACUGGUUGCUACCCCGUGUUUGUUUUAUUACUUCCAUACCAGUUUUGUUUGGCCUCCAGUUCCAUUCCCUGCGUAAGAUAGAGACUAAAAUGGAGAAAACAUUGUUAAAGCAAUCAUUUUGGUACGAACAAAUCUCACUUAUAUAGGGAUCAUAUAGGACGAAUACCUGUUUUGCUCGCUUAUCAAUUGGUGUCCAUGACUUAAGAGGAGAGUAAAAUCUCUCGUUUUUUGGCGAGGCUGAAGAAGUUUUUGACCGCUUCUGCUUUUUCUCUUCUGGAAUUUUUUUGCCUCCUUUAUACUUGAAAAACUCUAGUAUGGAAGGACUCUUUCUCUUGGUACUAGCUUUCUUUAUGUUCCCUGGAGUCUCCAAACUAGAGGGAGUGACAUAAGAAGGAAGAGAUUGAUGUUGUUUCCUUGCCCUGCUUCUUUCUCUAACUCUGUUAAGGAAAUCAACCGUCCAAGGAGAACUCUGUACUUGAUUUGAAGAACGGAUUGCGUUUGAUAGUGGAGAUCCACCAAAAUGUGAUAUCUCUUCUCUAAAUGGAAGCUCUGUUGUUGGAACUGCGGAUCUCCGAGUUAAGACCUCCUCCAAAAGGGUUCUUUGGCGUUUUGCUGGAUAGUUAUCAGCAUAACCACGCAAAGAAGCAUUGUUAUCAUAUUUUGAAUCUUUCUCGGUGGUGAAUCUUUCAGAACUCAAGUCGAUCUCAGCUGCUUUUGGGAAGUUAGGCUGGAGAGAUCCAAAGAAAGAUAACUUCCUUGCAGAUUUUGAUUUUCUUGGAAGUUCCUCUUCAUCAACAUCAGAAACUAUUGGAGAAAACCUAUUGUAACCAGGAGAAGGCGGGAAGUCUUCCUCCAGAAAUUUAUCAGCUCUGUUGAUUACUUCACCUUUGUAGUCUACGAUGAAACUCUCUGAGUUCCUAUUGUCAUGCAAGUUGAAAUCUCCCAUCACUGGGAAUUUACAUCCUCUGUUCUGGCUCUUGAACUUGUCUUUAACUGGGAAACUCCAAUCUUCUAAUUCAGGAAUUCCAGGAAGACUGUCCUCCACUGAAAAACCAGGCUGAUCUUUCUCCCAAAAUGUGUCCUUUGAUGAUGAACCAGGUCUUGGCUUCUUGUCGAAUCUCUCAGGAUCUUUAGAUGGCCAAGAGUCAUUGGGAUGACUGAUCCCAGAAGGCUUGAAAGGUGCAUCAGAGAAUUCAGUGACAGGGUCAAAAUGAAAUAUCUCAUUAUCUCUCGAUGACCAAGAAUCAUCAAGUUGAAAAUCACCAGAAGACUUGAGCUGCGCAUCAGCAAAUUCUGUGGAGGGAGCAAAAUGGACCAAGUCGUCCAUAUCUAUCUCAUCUUUCUCAGCAAUGUACUGUUUCUUUUUCGAACCAGAAUGGACACUGACAUGGUGUGUGUCUGAGUCAGGUCCAGAAGAUACCGAAGAAGAGCUGUCUGUCAUUACAGAUCUGGAGUCCUCCCUCGCUCCGUAUCUGCAUAGUGAACUGAAUAGAUCAACACUCUCUUCAGGUACAUGAUACUUUUGCAUCCUAUCAACCUUGCUUUUAUGUGGGAGCUUCAUGAAUUCGAGAAGUGACCCAGAAGAUGACAGAAUUACUUGAGCUGUGAGUGGAUUCACGGAAGGAAACUUGGUGAGAAAUGAUUCUGCUAGAGAUUCUGACUCGGGCAUUUUGACAUGGAGUUUGGACAACUUAACAGACGACUUGAUACACCUCAAUAUAAUUUCAUCCGUGAAAUCAGCUGACGAUGAGCAAAACAUCUGUAAACUGAUUCCCAGGCUACCAGCUGCUACAUACAGUUCAUCAGAGGAGUCCAUUAUUGUAGCCAGAAAGGCGGGUUCCCCCUCAAAAACCUGUAGGAAAAAUUACAAUCAUUCUUUAAGUUCUCAGGACUCACUCUACAGUUUAGAACAAAAUGUUGCAGAGACUUGGUACAUAAGUGAGUAGCAAACAUCUAGUAAGUUUGUAAUCAUCCAGUUAGCAAAAAUAUUAGUGCAAUGUUCUCACAAACGAAUGGCAAGAAGCAAAGUUCCAUGGAAUUUACCAUAAUGCAGGUGCUGAAACUGAAACUCAAUGACGUCAAAACAUUGGUUGCGAUAUCUCCAAUCCAUGAAAGUGAGCUUGAGGAAGUACCAAUAGUUGCAGCCGACUUCUUACUAACAGUUUCACAAUCAUACCAGAGUAGGCAAACUGCAGGACUUAGCAUCAGGUCCACAGGUAGAUCUGAAUCGCGCUCCACAACUUGCACUCCUUCUUUUUCCAUUGCUAACACCUUCUGGUAUGUACUUCUUCUGGAUAUGAUCAUCUCCUUAUCAACAGUUUUUGAAUUCACAACAAUCACAGAUCUUUGGUCAGAGAGAACUCCUUGUUCAAUUAUCCCACGUUUUCUUUCAGAUUCUUGAGGCAUGGAGAUAUAUUCAGAUUCAUUUGUGGUUACUGAAGAUCCUGCAUAACACACACUUUCAAGUGGAACAAAGUUCAACACUUCUUCCAACCAGCCAGUUUUCGUCUCAACUUCAUCUUCCUACAAAAGAGACAUUAAAGUUCAGUCAUAAGUUCUUGACUUCUUGUAUCUGCAUAUUAUGAAACAUAUUCAAACAAAGCGUUCAAUAUAUGCAGUUAUGGAACAAGCGUGAAUACUAGUGAUGUGACAACACAAGUUUAAGUUCAAGUACAUACUAAUGUUAAACUUGUAUGAUUUUCAGAGUUGAAAACCAAUCAAGACCAGGUGCUCAUGAAAACAUUAUUUGUGAUAUAGAUUGCUCCUCUGCUCUUAAUUUGAACCCUUCACACAGAGAUUCUUCCAUCAUAAUAUACAAUCUACAGAUACAAUUUGUAAGAAAAAGGUUGAAAGUUGAAUGCUUCUCACCUUUAUCAUUUUGAGACUAUAAGGUACUUUGACACCUGCACACAGUUGGCCGCAUGCACUGGACAUAUCCAUCUCAACUUUUAUGAAAUGGAAGUCAGGAAAGGAAUCCAACUUAGAAGGAAAAGAAAAUUUGGGCGAGGCAUUUGGACCGCCAUAUUCUACAAUGACGCUGAAAUUCUCCACAGGAAAAGAUGGAGAAAUUUGCCUUGGAUGAAAAAGAAAGGACUAGUCAGCUUAACUACUCCCCAAGAGACAAUGUAACUAAAAGAUAUUGAACAAAGAAUCGAUAAAGUUAUGUUUUUUAGAAUGCAAAGACUUAAAAGACAAAAAUUAUGCAACAAUUUCACGAGUAGAUUUCAGAAGUAACAAGAUUAUGUGGUGUCUCUUACAAUUACCAUGAUAAAAGACUCUAGAUAUUUUUCAGGCAGUUAUAUAUCAAUUCUUUGGUUCCCUUUCCAGUUCCCAUAAAAAUCAACUGUGAAAAGCUAUGAUCAUUGAUAAUGAGGAUAUGACUAUAGGAAGAAAUAAUACUCACUCGUAAGAGAUAAUUAGACAGUCUGAAAUCGGCAGGAAACCACGUUCUACGGUUUUAAACCCCGUGGCUUCAUGAACAUUUGGUCGAUUUUCACUUGGGGAGGGACUGUUGAGCUCAUUGUAAGAUAAACCCAUGGACAUCAGUAGCCUCUUCAGCGAGGACCAAAAAACUUUCUCAGCCAAAAGUAAUGCUUUGGAGUUCCCCCGGGCAAAUUCUGAAUGUAAAAUCCCCUGGAUAACAGCUAGUGAUGGAUGUGAUCUUGUGACGUCUGUCUCAUCUGAUUUGUGUUCUGUUUCAACUGCUGAGUAGAGGGUGUGCAAUCCUAGCUUCAUGGGAUUUGAGCUUCGACAUAACUUGUUAAGAUAGAGAUAUGCCACAUGGAUACCGAAGAAACACAUAUACCAUGUCAUCUGUUUAAUUGCUAGUAGUAAUGCAAACGUGAAAGUCUUAUCAUCCGCCAACUGCGUGUUGCGGACAUUUGCCUUUCUUAUGCAGUCAAUAAGCUUUCCUUUAGAUAUGCUGAGUAACUUAAGUCUAUCUUCUGAUAAAUUCUCUGAUUCAUCCUUCACAAGAGUUAAAUAGCUCUUCACAAAGUCCCCAACAAGAACCAGAAUAUUUUCUGAAGGGCGCACACUGUGAAGUAUCAUUUCCUCCGUCUUCAGGUUUGGGUGCAUGCCACCAGAUAUACAUGAAGCCUUCGAGUCAAUAGACAUAAAUUUAUGGUUGGCCGUCUUAGCAGCUUCGACUCUAGACCCGAGAUUAUCUUCAGUCACAGCCUUCUGAGGAUCCAUGAAAAAGGUUAAGUCAUCAAACGCAGACAUUGAUUUGAACAACAGCGUAGCCUUCUUAGCAUUAUCAUCCACUCCACAAUCCCUGGCUCCUGUUUUUUGGAAAAGGUUUUCCAAUAACCCAUGAGAAGUAUUAACAGGAGCAUGCUCAUCAAGGGUAGAUAUACCAUAGAAAGGUUCAGUGCAUUUCUCUACAAGUGGCUCGCUGAAAGCAUCUUCAGAGAAUAUAAAAUCAUAAACCCAUUUGUCUCCUUCUGAAGAUUCCCACUUAAAAUCAAUGUUGAGUGUAACUAUUUCUUCAAACGGAUAAUCACAAUGGUUGUGGUUUCUUUCCUCAAGAAGGUUCCAGGGCAAGUAUAUGUCAUUUGAAGCAGACAAGGAUUGAGGCUUGAUCUUUGACAAAACAUCCUCAUAAAUGAGAUCCAGAGAUCUUGUCAUCUCAUAAUCAUGUAAAAUAGGAGUAGGCAGAGACUUGAAGGCAUCAUCUGUGAAGGCAAGUUCGGAACUGACUACUAAUUCAUCGAAAUUCUUGAAGUUCAUCUCUUUACUGAACAUCCCAUAACAUAUUUCUGGUUCAAUGGCUUUUAGAAGACAAAGGAAGAUAUCAAAAACAUCAGAUAUUUCCACAUCCAGGAUCUGAAAUUCCUCAAAAGUUACUGGGAGAGCCAGCUUUCCUUGUUGUUCAAACAGAAAGUUUUCCUCAGCAUUUGAUAUUUCCAGGAUAUUCACUAAAUCCACUUCAGAAAAUUCAUCCUCUGGCACCACAUCAGAUUGACCACUUUUGUUCAAAUAGCAAUCCGUAGAGAGGAUAUCCAAUAGAUCAUAACCCUUAGAGCCUAUAAGCUCCUUAGAAUUGAUAAUGAGAGAACUCGCUGCGUUCUUAUCUUGGGGUUCAAUUGUUUCAAGAACAGUAAAUACUUUAUCAAGCGUAGAUAAGCUCGAUAGUUCUCUCAAGUUUACUUCAUCCACUUCUAGAAGGGGAAAUCUGGCAUCUUUGAACCAUGGUUGAUUCUUGCUAGAGCAUUCAUUUUCUGCUACCGAAGUAUUGUUCUCUGUGAAGUAAUCAGAAGAAAUGUAAUCAACAGAAUAAAUCCUUUGGUGGAUGUCAUUUGAGUUCUGUAAGAUAGUAUCUAAUUCAACAUAUUUAACCUGCAAUAAGAAGAGUACCUAAAAUCAGAUGAUGAAAACUCAAUAUCAACACAACAAGGCCAGAAAGUUAAGAUUCUCUCUUUCCAUACUGCUAAAUAGAAUUUUCCAUGAAAUUGAUUAGUCAAAGAGCUUUGUCAAUCGGAAAGAAGAAUCGGAACCAGAGACUAACUACUGUGGUGUGUGCCAACUUUACACUUUGACUUCUACUGAGAUCAACUCAGGGAUUUACCGGCUCAUUUUCGAUCUCUAGAACUUCAGAGAAACAUUGGAGAUCUUCCCUCUUAGAUGAGAUCAUUUCCUCCUGCAUAUUGGAAGAUAAAUUAUCUCGCAAGGAGAAAGAAAUGGUUGAACUAGUUCAAUUGGUACAAUGUUUACACAGCUUGAGCAAUACCAUUUCAAAAUCCAACUCCGGAGUCUCCAACUCCAUAAUGUUAAAUACAGCUUUGUCCUCAAUGGCAUCUCCGUCAUUCUUCUGCGAUAGAUCAUAACUUAUGUUAUUCAAACUCCAGUCAGAUUCCCUUAAGCUACCAAAAUUUUCAACCAAGGUAUGAAUAUGAGAUCCAAGCAACAAUCACAAACCAAAGAUUCCGGAAAAUCUACAAACCAAUCUCACUAUAAGAAACCAAGGACCAUUGACAGAAGCAGUCAUAUAUACAGCGAGAUUCAAGCUGAGAAUCGCCAAAUCCAAGGAACUUUACCUCGUCUGAGAAAUAAUCUCCGAGGGAAGAAUCAUCAAUUUCAAAAACUCCAUAGUCCACACUAACGCAAUCGGGAACCACGUCGGAAAGGAACUUCGACAAAGCAGCUUCAAUAGUAAAAUUCCCGAUUGGGAGACAGACAUUUUCGACAGAGCCAAAUCGGAGACGGUCUUCUUCUCCGUCGUAGACUAUAGGUCCCGGAAAAUUAUCAGGAGCCGGAAGAUUAAGGAAGCCUAGGGUUUCAAAUACCUGAGAAGAUGGAGUAGAGAAGUAAUCGAUGUUGAGAAAUCGAGUUCGCAUCGUAAUUCUCCAGAUCCGUCUUGGGAUGUGAUACUGUAACAGUGACGAAGAAGAAGAGAACGAAUUUGAAAUUGGCGGUUUUGAUUUUUUAAGAAAUUAAAAAAUAUCUUCCGUCGAUUUCAAGAGAGAGAGGGAGAGAGAGAGAGAGAGAGAGAGAGAGACUGAAGCAACGCUCGCGCUUGUCGUCUUUCAAUUACAAAUGAGAACGAUCUGCCGUUUUUAAUUUUCAAAACAGCACGCAGUUGGUUUCUGUAUUGAAUUUUUUCUCAUGCCGUCUCUAUUAUGGAAUGCCGUUUUGUUAUAUUUAAACAACACGUAGUGCACAUGCCAAAUAAUCACAUGAUGGGGCCAAUAAACGUGGACCGACUAAAAAUAAUACACCCUCUGUUUCUAAAACAAUGAUGUUUUAGUUUUACAUACAAAUUAAGAAAAAGUAAUUUUUAUAUUUUUUUAUUAUUAUUUUGUUAGUUUAAUAAUAUUAGUUUUACUCCCCCUCCUUCUACUAUUAGUCAUAAACAAAAAUAAUAAUAAUAUUUUUACAAAACAUCAAUCUUGGUGGAACAAGUAAAAACCCUAAAAUAUCAAAUAAUUAGAAUAAUUAGGAACAGAGGGAGUAGAAGUUAAGUCGGUAGGCUUCUCUAAUAAAGAUCGGAUAAAAAGAUAAUGUCACAUAGCCACGUAGAGAGCAAAUGGCUGAGACGUGGCAGGAGGAAAAGGACGCAUCGUACGUGUCAGAAUCCUACAGAAGUAAAGAGACACAAACCAAGAGAGGUGGUUCACAUGUCAUACUUCUCACUUAUUCUCUCUAUAAACUUUCAAGACCCUUGCUCUGUUUUUCUCAGAGACACGAAAAGAAGAAAACAACGCUAGAACAAAGAGAGUUUGAUUGAUUCACUUGAAAAAAGAGAAAACACAGCUUUGGAAAAUGGAGUCGCAGUUGACACGUCCUUAUGGUCAUGAGCAAGUAGAAGAACCAAUCAGAAUUCACCAUCCAGGUAUAUAAUAACUAUGAAAAGUAGAUUCUAAUUUCAGAAACUUUCUCUCAAUUUGCUUACUUAAUUGUGAUUCGGAUACAGAGGAAGACGAGCAUCAUGAUAAGGGAGCAUCUAAAGUGUUAAGAAAAGUAAAGGAAAAAGCUAAGAAGAUCAAGAACAGUCUCACUAAACAUGGCAAUGGUCAUGAUCACGAUGUUGAAGAAGAAGAAGAUGAGUAUGACGAGCAAGACCCAGAAGAGCACGGAGCACCAGGUUAAUUUCUCUUCAUUCCUCUUCAAUCUAUCAUUUAUUCCAGUACAAAUGAUUUUUAGUAGUUCUGUUUUUGGGUAUUAACGGUUUCUCUUUUUUUUUUUAUGUGUAUACACAGUGUAUGAAUCCUCUGCCGUAAGAGGUGGUGUAACGGGUAAACCUGAGUCUUUAAGUCAUACCGGAGAAACUAAUGUUCCAGCACCGGAGGAGAUUGUUCCUCCAGGAACAAAGGUUUUUCCUGUCGUGUCUUCCGAGCACACCAAACCCAUUGAGCCUGUUUCAUUACAAGAUACCUCUUACGGACAUGAGGCACUGUCUGCUCCUGGAGGAGGUUCGGAUUAUCUUAGUGGUGUAUCUAAUUAUCAGUCCAAAGUUACUGAUCCCACGCAUAAAGGUAAUGACUUUGGCCGAGAUAUAAAGAUCGCGUUUUAUGUUUAUGAAUCUGUAAUAACUCUUGUCUGUUGUGUUUAAGGUGGAGAAGCUGGAGUACCAGAGAUUGCUGAGUCUCUUAGUCGGAUGAAAGUGACUGAUGAGUCUCCUGAUCAGAAAUCAAGACAAGGAUUUGGAGAAGACUUACCGACGAGAAGCCAAGAAUUUGGUCUGAAGAACGAAUCUGAUAUCAGCAAGGAUUCUCCGGCAAGACUUGGAGGAGAAUCAAGAGCUGGUCUCGGGGAAGAUUUUCAGAGAAGAAGUGAUGAUGUGAAAGCAGAGACUGGGUUGGGAAGAGACUUACCGACCGGAACUCAUGAUCAGUUCUCACCGGAACUAUCUCGUCCUAAAGAGAGAGAUGAUUUUGAGGAAACCAGAGAUGAGACGAAACAGGAGAGGAAACCGAGCACCUACACAGAGCAGUUAGCUUCAGCUACAUCAGCCAUAACCAACAAAGCUAUAGCGGCGAAGAACGUCGUCGCCUCAAAGCUAGGUUACGGAGAAAGCGGCGGCGGGCAAUACGAAAGCGCUGAAAAGGAUGAAACUCCGAGGUCUGCUACGGGUUACGGGCAGAAAGUGGCGGUUACUGUUGCUGAGAAGUUGACUCCGGUCUACGAAAAGGUCAAAGAAACAGGAUCAACGGUGAUGACGAAACUUCCUCUCUCCGGAGGUGGAAGUGGAGUGAAGGAGACGCAACAAGGGGAAGAGAAAGGUGUGUCGACUAGAGAUUAUCUAUCGGAGAAGCUGAGACCUGGAGAAGAAGACAAAGCCUUAUCUGAGGUGAUAGCUGAGAAACUUCAUUUUGGAGGAGGACAGAAGAAGUCAACGGCCACAAAGGAGGUGGAAGUGACGGUGGAGAAGAUACCUUCUGACCAGAUAUCGAAGGGGAAAGAACAUGGUGAGGCGGUUACUGAGGAAGGGAAAGAAGAAGGAAUGGUAGGGAAAGUUAAAGGAGCGGUCACUUCUUGGCUCGGUGGUAAGCCGAAAUCGCCACAUUCAGUUGAAGAGUCUCCACAAUCACUUGGCACCACCGUUGGUAAAACUCACUCGUCCUUGUGUUAUACGUAAUGUUAAGAUUUUGAUGUGUUUAUUAUUUGUGGUUUACUCAAAACGUUUUGGUUGCAAUGGUAGGGACUAUGGGGUUUACGGAUUCCAGUGGAAGUGAGUUGGCUGGUACUGGCGGAGCUAAGGGAGUUCAAGAUUCUGGGAACUGAAGAUUUGGGGUUUUGCUUUUGAAUGUUUGUGUUUUUGUAUGAUAACUUUGAUGUAUUUUUGUGUUCGUGUGAAAUAAAGAUUGGGUUGAUAAAUAUAUAAUCUACUUUUUUUGGGUCAAGAAACUCUACUUUAUCGGCCCAUUAUAUAGCUUAAAAAUGCAAAAACAAGUUAACGUCAGACUUUUAAUUAUUAUUUUUUUUUAAAAAAAAUUUUUGUUGAAGGGUAUAGAAGAUCAUAGCCAAAAAAAAUUUAUUCAAAGAUGUAAAAAAAUUUGUUGAAAAAAUUUAUUCAAAGAUGAAUGCGAUGGAUAUAGAAGAUCAUAGCCAAAAAAAAAUUAGGAGGCUCAGCAGAAACAGUGACAUCUGUUGUUGCCACAGAAAUUAAUUUAUUAUGGGUUAAUGUGUCACUGUUGUUGGUACCACACAAAUUAGUUUUAUUUUCUGAGUUUAUGUUAUGUUAUAGAACUUAAUACACCUUUAUAAAUUAGUAAUAUCGGAAUUAGUAUAUAGAAUUAUUAAUUAAUCAGUUAGUUAGUUCACAAUUAAUUUGGGAUAAAAAUAAUUGAUUAUCGAAUAUUAAGUCAUAAAAAUUAUAUCUAUACUAGUAUUUUUGCAGUCACUUUUGAGUCGGGUGGAUAAAAUUAUUAUCGGAUAUUUUAGAUAUCCGACCCAUUUACAAAAUUUGGUCAUAAAAAAUUUGUUGGAUCGGGUUAUAUUUAAUCUAACUCAUACACCGGAUAUUUCAUAUUUAAUAAUUUAGAUAUUUAGAAGAUUUGAUUAAGAUUUAGAAUUAUGAUUCUCCUAUCAUCUUUUUUUGAUUUGUUUUUAACUGUUUUGAAUCAUCAUAUAAUAUAUAAAAUUAAAAAAAUAAUCAAUUUUUUUUGCAUAUACUGUUAUUCGAAAUUUUAAAAACAGACGUAUAUUAUCAAAUUGACGAAAAUGUGUGUUCAACGUUCUACAUCGAUUAAAAUAUUUAGACACUGAUUUAAAAUCAUAUGAUAAAUAAGAUCAACAUUAAUAAAAUAAAUGAGUUUUUUGGCCGGACGGGUUUGGCGGGACGAGUUUUUGAAUCAACAAUAAUAAAAAAAAUUAAAAUAUCAUUAAUCCGCCGCUUCAAUACGGAUUAAAUCCAUAAUUUUUUUUAAUACCACCAAUAUUAGACAUAUUAAAUGAAUCUCAUUCAUAAAAGAUUGUAUAAAACCAAAAAUUGUCUCGUGGUUAAAUGUUACUUAAUAACAAUUGUAAACUAUAAAAUAUAAAUAUCUUAGAAAAUGAUACAAUUUGCAAACUUUUAUAUAUAAUAAAUAAUCGUUAAAUUUUAAAAAUUAAUACUUUUAGAAAACAAAUCACAAGACGGAUUAAAAAGUUACAGGACGGGUUAUAUUUCAGAACGAAGUUAUAUGGUGGACGAGUUUGAAUCAAUAUUUAUAAAAUUUUAAAAUAUCAUUAACAUGCCGCUUUAAUACAUAUUAAAUCUUCAGUUUAUUAAAAUAUAAAUGACUUAGAGAAUGAUAUGAUUUAUAAACUUUUAUAUAUAAUAAAUAAUCAUUAAAUUUUAUAAUAAAAACAAAUCCCGGGACGGGUUAAGAAAUUACGGAACGGGUUAUAUUUUGGAAUGGUUUUAUAUGGCGGACGAAUUUAAUGAUUUUAAACUAUAACUGUACUUAAUAACAAUUUUAAACUAUAAUAUAAAUAAAUAUUUUAUAAGGAGAUAAAUAUUUUAUAAGAAGAUAUCUCUUUAUCUCUUCAUUCAUUUUCUCUCAUCCAUCCUUUCUCUCUCUCGAAACUUUAAGUCUCGUCGUCUUCUUCCUUUGUUUCGAGGACUGAGUUUGCUCCGGUGAGAUUGCUAAUCGGCGUCGCCUCAUAUCACAAGUAACUGGGUAUCCCAUAGAUCCGAAUCCGAAGAGGCGAAUUAUCACUUUCAUUCUCUCUCAAAACCAAUUGAUUUUUCCUUAAUUCGUUUAGAUCUCUCUGUUUUAACCUCUGCUUUCUUUUUUUCGCCAUUACGAUUUUAUUUCUAAUUUAGGCUUUCGUCCUCAAAUGUCCUUAUACACAUCCUUAGAUCUGCAUGUAUCUUCACCUCUUUGACGUAGAUCCACUGUUAGACACCCAUAAUUUUAUUUGGAGCUUCAUACAUAAAUUGCAUGUCAUCAUCAUCCGUUUAUUGAUCUAUAUUUCUAAUAAAUUGGCUCCUCUGUUUUGCAGGAAAAUGGCAGAUAUUGACCUUUCUUCUAGGCUUUUGCGGACUGAGAAGAACCUGCCGGUGAUCUUGUUAACAUGUACUUUAAGCUUAAUAUCAUCAAAGCCGUUCUAAAGGCCCUGGCUCCCAAGAAGAUCGAAACCAUUCGACCUAGCUUUGAGAAAAUCAUGGAUCUUUACUGAAAGCCGGUGUUCUCCGAGAAGUUGGCCCACAAUGAUGAUUCCGAGGGAGCAUGUUGAGAUGAUUCGGGAUUUGGAUGUGUUUUUGAAAUAUCCUUGGGGUCGGUACAGUUUUGAUAUGACGCUGCAAUGCAUUAAGUCUAGAUCUUUACUUCAAUUGGCUUAGGCCACUGUUGCCAUCCAAGGUUUUAUACACGCUUUGGUCCUUGUAUUUGUGGAGGCUAUGCCGGCCAUCCUUUCAGUAGGUUGUGAUAGAACCGAACCAGAAUCCGACGAUGAACAUAUGUUCCCUGUAAUUUCUUUGAAAUUAGAUAAAGUGUGGGAAUUGGAUGGAGAAGCUCAUGUAUAUUAGACCUCUACGUGUUUAUAUAAAUGUCCAUUCAGUUUUUGUCAUGCGUUAUUUGUUUAGAUAUACGGCUAUAUCCCUUUUUAACGUCUAUCAACCGCUUUUAUAGGUCGAUGUUCUGUCUAUCAUACCUUCGGCUGAUGUUGUCACUGGGGUGGAAGAUUGCGGUUGGGUUGAUGAGGUAAGUGACCCCAGUGUUCAAGUAUUGUUAAAGCGCCUUGAAGAAGGUGUCAAGUUCAGCCGUUAGAUGUUUAUUGGUUGUAUUAGAGGUUGGGGUCAAUAUUCGAAGGACAAUUUUCCGCUGCACCCGUUGACUUUCAUUAGAAACCCAAUGAGGGUUGUGUAUUUUAUUAUAAUCUACCUAUGUUUUCUUUUGGAUUAUUCCUCUAUCCUCCUUCUUUAUUUUGAACUGUUGUUCUACCAGUCUUUCAUCUUCUGAACUAGUAGUAUCUGUAUUUUUCUUUCAAUCUGUUGGUUAUACCUUCUAACCUUUUCUGGCUCUACGUUUUAACUUUUCACGCGAUAUAAAUGGUCAUUCAUUAGCUAUAGAUAGCUAUAUUUAUAAAUACAUGUAUAUCUAGUUAUGUACAACUACAUAUUCAAUGAGUUUUACUCCUCCUGUUAGAUAUGUAGACGUCUAUAUUAAAAUGUGUAUGUCUAAGCAGCUCUUAUGUUGGACAUGCGCAUGUGGGGCGCGUGAGGGUCAGUUACUUGGCAAGCAUUUAAUAUAUGUCAUUUCAAUUGUACUUUUAUGUCAGAAGCCAAACCCACGCGCAUACGUUUUACGCUUCCUGGUUAUUUUGUAAAUAACUUCUAAAAGUGACCCUUUUCUAACUUUUGAUAAUACCUCUUUGCCGACAGCUUCUGAUAAUACCCUUCCCCUAAUUUGUGUUCCCAUUUUUACUUCUGCCCAAAUUCACUCAUUAUAUUAUUUGGUUUGUCAAAAUGAUGCUAUGUUCUAAGUUUAUUAAAAAAUUUGGUGAAUGGAAUAGUCGACUGUAGGCCUGGGCACAAAUAUGGAUCCACGUAGAACCGAACCGAACCGAAAUUGAUGGGUACGGUUCGGUUCUGGUUCUAGUGAAAAUAUCGAUUGGAUCUUAAAUCAAAGAACCAUGGGUAUCGGUUCGGUUCGGGUAAGAACCGAUAUCCAUUCGGGUACCCAAAAAAUAUAGCACAUUAACCUAUAUUUAUAUAACCCAAAGUCUCAAAUCCAUCUAGACAUAAACCUAGCUACCCAAGCCUAACAACCAACCAUAUAUCUCUCUUAGCCUCUUAUAUAUUUCUCUGAAACCUAAAGAGAAGCCCUAGUUUGUUCUCUCUUUCUCAAAGAAGGAGACGCCGCAGACAACAACUCUCUUUUUCGAAUCAUUGCAAAUCAAAGACAAAGCUUCUUUUGGUGUCUUUAAAACUUGUGUUUUGUGGUAUUUUGAAACUUUGGGUGUCUUUUGACUUAAUACUUUCCAAGUUUCAACUAUUUUUGAAUCUGUAAUGGUAUGAUGACUAAUAUGUGAUGUUGCAUUGCAUACUUGCAUAAUUGCAUUUGAAUUUUGCAUUAUAAUUCUAUUGUUUUUUCGAUUUCAAAAAUAUCCGAAACAGUUUGGUUCCUAUUCGGUUCCAAAAUGUAUUACCCGAACCGAAUAGGAACCGAACCAGAACCGAACCGAUAUUGAUUUGGUUCCAAUAUAGUUCCUAAAUCUCAGAACCAAAAUACUUGGAACCGAACCGAAUACCCAAACGUCCAGGCCUAGUCGACUGUAUAUUUUACACGGCAGAGAUUAGUCUAAAAAUCUGAAUGACUUCCGAUUACUAAAAAAAGGUUGUACAAUAAACAGCCACACAAUGUAAACGUAAAAUGACCACAUGCAUGAUGGGCCAAUAGACAUAGACCGACUACCAUUAAUAGAAAGUUACAUAGGAAACUUCUCUUAAAGAUCAUACCGACAUCAGUUUUAAAACUUUAAAGAAUAAGAAAAAAGAAAAAAAGAUCAUACCGACAUCAGUUCCAAAAAAACAAAAAAAAAAGAUCAAGCCGACAUAGACACGUGUAGAGAGCAAAAUGACUUUUGACGUCACACCACGAAAACAGACGCUUCAUACGUGUACAUUUUAUCUCUCCCAGUCUCUCUAUAAACUUUAGUGAAACCCUCCUCUGUUUUACUCACAAAUAUGCAAACUAGAAAACAAUCUUCAGGAAUAAAGAAUUUUAUUACUUCCCUUGGAAAGAAAAAAAUCUUUGGCAGAUGGAUCAAACCGCGGAACCACCACUCAACACACACCAGCAGCAACCAGGUAAUAUAUCAUAUUCCUUGUAGUUAAGUAGAUUCUAGUUUUAGAAACUUUGGUUUGUUUCUUUUUAUGUGACAUUCCACUUAAUUUACCAAAUUUUAUUGUGAUUUGUGGAUACAGAAGAAGUUCAACAUCAUGAGAAUGGUGCGUCUAAGAUGUUUAGGAAAGUAAAGGCAAGAGCUAAGAAGUUCAAGAACAAUAUUACUAAACAUGAUCAAAGCAAUGAGCAUGAUCAUGAUGUAGUUAAAGAAGAUGAUGAAGAUGACGAGCUAGAACCAGAAGUGAUCGAUACACCAGGUUACUUUCUUUUAUAGUUUCCUUCAAUUUAUGAUCUAAAACUAGUGGUUAUUUAACUUUGUGUGAGAUUAACGGUUUUGUAAUUGUAUAUGCAGGUGUAAAAGGUAAACCAGAGUCUCUGAGUCAUCCGAGAGAAACUAAAGUUCCGGCAGCGGAGGAGAUUGUUCCUCCAGGGAAAAAGGUGUUUCCUGUCGCGUCUUCCGAUUACACCAAACCCACUGAAUCUGUACCAUCACAGGAUACCUCUUACGGACACGAUGCACCGGCUCAUUCUGUAAGAACGUCGGUUACAUCGGACAAGGAAGAGAGCAGAGAGGCUCAUCACGAGGCAAUGGACACUCCUCUGCUUUCUGCAACAGAGGAUAUCACGAGGACGUUUGCUCCUGCUGGUGAAGAUGAUUAUCUUGAUGGUCAACGGAAAGUCAACGUCGAGACACCGAUCAAGUUGGAGGAAGAUCCGGCUGUUACAGGAGGAGGGUCUGAUUAUCUUAGUGGUGCAUCUAAUCAUCAGUCCAAAGUUACUGAUCCCACCAAAGAAGGUAAGAACUUUGAGCAUUUAAGGUUCUGUUUUUUUAGGGUUUAUGAAUAUGUAGUAACUCUGUUCUGUUCUGUUGUGUUUGAUAUAGGAAGUGGAGAAGCUAGAGUACCGGAGAUUACUGAGUCUCUUGGUAAUAUGAAAGUGACUGAUGAGUCUCCUGAUCAGAAACCACCACAAGGAUUUGAAAGAGACUUGUCGACGAGAAGCAAAGAAUUCAAAGAAUUUGAUCAGGACUUCGACUCUGUUCUCGGUAAGGAUUCGCCGGUGAAAUUUGCAGGUGAAUCAGAAGCUGAGCUAGAAAAAGAUUUUCCGAUGAGAAGCCAUACAGAAUCUGGAAUCGACAAGAAUUCUCCGACGGGCUUUGGUGGCGAAUCAGAAGCUGAGCUAGAAAAAGAUUUUCCGAUGAGAAGCCAUACAGAUUCUGGAAUCGACAAGAAUUCUCCGACGGGCUUUGGUGGCGAAUCAGAAGCUGAGCUAGAAAAAGAUUUUCCGAUGAGAAGCCAUACAGAUUCUGGAAUCAACAAGAAUUCUCCGACGGGCUUCGGUGGCGAAUCAGGAGUUGAGCUAGAAAAAGAUUUUACGACGAGAAGCCAUGAUUUUGAUAUGAAGACUGAAGCUGGGACGGACACGAAUUCUCCAUCAAGAAGCUAUGAAUUUGAUCUGAAAACAGAAUCUGGAAACGACAAGAAUUCUCCGAUGGGAUUUGGUAGUGAAACAGGAGCUGAGCUGGGGAGAGAAUUGCCGACGGGAAGUGAUGAAUUUGAUCAGAAGAUUGAAUCUGGAAGAAACGAGUAUUCGCCGGAAUCUGACGGCGGAUUAGGAGCUCCGUUGGGAGGAAAUUUUCCAGUGAGAAGUCAUGAGUUGGAUCUGAAGAAUGAAUCUGGUAUUGAGAAAGAUUCGCCGACGGGAUUUGACGGAGAACCAGAUUUUCUGGCGAAGGGAAGACCUGGAUACGGCGACGCAUCGGAAGAGAAUGACUUUCCGGCGAAAAGUGAUGAUGAGACUCAUGAUCAAUUCUCACCGGAACUAUCUCGUCCUAAAGAGAAAGAUGAGUUUAAGGAGUCCAGAGAUGAUUUUGAGGAGACGAGAGAUGAGAAAACAGAGGAGCCAAAAACGAGCACUUACACAGAGAAGUUUGCUUCAAUGCUAGGUUACUCCGGAGAGAUUCCGGCGGGAGAUCAAAGUGAAGUGACGGGAACUGUUGAUGAGAAGUUGACACCUGUCAAUGAGGAGGAUCAAGAAACAGAGUCUGCCUUGACGACGAAGUUACCUCUCUCUGGAGGUGGAAGUGGAGCGGAGGAGCAACGAGGGGAAGAUAAAAAUGUGUCGGGUAGAGAUUAUCCGGCGGAAAAACUGACGCCUGACGAAGAAGACAAAGCUUUUUCUGAGAUGAAUGCUGAGAAACUUCAGAUUGGAGGAGGAGAAGAGAAGAAGACAACGACGACAAAGGAAGUGGAGAAGAUCCCUACCGAGAAGGCGUCGGAGGAGGGAGAACAAGGUGAGGCGGUGGAUGAGGAAGUGAACGGAG
rnacentral:lncRNA from 1 species